rnacentral:rRNA from 1 species
GAUGAACGCUAGCGGCAGGCCUAACACAUGCAAGUCGAGGGGUAGAGUUCUUCGGGACUUGAGACCGGGCGCACGGGUGCGUAACGCGUAUGCAAUCUACCUUAUACAGGGGAAUAGCCCAGAGAAAUUUGGAUUAAUGCCCCAUAGUAUUAUUGAAUGGCAUCAUUUGAUAAUUAAAGUUCCAACGGUAUAAGAUGAGCAUGCGUCCCAUUAGUUAGUUGGUAAGGUAACGGCUUACCAAGACAAUGAUGGGUAGGGGUCCUGAGAGGGAGAUCCCCCACACUGGUACUGAGACACGGACCAGACUCCUACGGGAGGCAGCAGUGAGGAAUAUUGGUCAAUGGGCGCAAGCCUGAACCAGCCAUGCCGCGUGCAGGAAGAC